CUACGGGCCGCUGCAGUGAGGAAUAUUGCACAAUGGGGGGAACCCUGAUGCAGCAACGCCGCGUGGAGGAUGACGCAUUUCGGUGUGUAAACUCCUUUUAUAUGUCAAGAAAAUGACGGUAGCAUAUGAAUAAGCACCGGCUAACUCCGUGCCAGCAGCCGCGGUAAUACGCAGGGUGCAAGCGUUACUCGGAAUCACUGGGCGUAAAGGACGCGUAGGCGGGGUGGAAAGUCAGGUGUGAAAUCCUACAGCUUAACUGUAGAACUGCACUUGAAACUUCUAAUCUAGAGUAUGGGAGGGGGAGAGGGAAUUAGUGGUGUAGGGGUAAAAUCCGUAGAUAUCACUAGGAAUACCUAAAGCGAAGGCGAUCUCCUGGAACAUUACUGACGCUAAGGCGUGAAAGCGUGGGGAGCAAACAGGAUUAGAUACCCUAGUAGUC
rnacentral:rRNA from 1 species